GUAGGGAAUAUUGCACAAUGGGCGAAAGCCUGAUGCAGCAACGCCGCGUGCGCGAAGAAGGUCUUCGGAUCGUAAAGCGCUUUUUGGGGAGAUGAGGAAGGACAGUAUCCCCAGAAUAAGGCUCGGCUAACUACGUGCCAGCAGCCGCGGUAAAACGUAGGAGCCAAGCGUUAUCCGAAUUCACUGGGCGUAAAGCGCGUGCAGGCGGUCUGGUAAGUUGGAUGUGAAAUCUCCUGGCUCAACUGGGAGGGGCCGUUCAAUACUGUCAGACUAGAGGGCGACAGAGGGAGGUAGAAUUCCCGGUGUAGUGGUGAAAUGCGUAGAUAUCGGGAGGAAUACCAGAGGCGAAGGCGACCUUCUGGGUCGCACCUGACGCUCAGACGCGAAAGCUAGGGGAGCAAACGGGAUUAGAAACCCCGGUAGUCC
rnacentral:rRNA from 1 species